UGUCGAUGAUGAAUGACUAUAUCCACAUUCGCAGUUGCAACCAGAGGGCUUACCAGCCUGAAGAUGGCGUAGACCUUCCUUGGAUGUCUGAGACA